AUUGAACGCUGGCGGCGUGCCUAAUACAUGCAAGUAGGACGCAGUUGCGAACGGGUGAGUAACGCGUAGGUAACUGCCUAUUAGAGGGGGAUAACUAUUGGAAACGAUAGCUAAUACCGCAUACUAGUAGAUGUACCUGCGUUGUAUUAGUUAGUAGGUAGGGUAAUGGCCUUCCUAGGCGACGAUACAUAGCCGAGCUGAGAGGGGGAUCGGCCACACUGGGACUGAGACACGGCCCAGACUCCUACGGGAGGCAGCAGUAGGGAAUCUUCGGCAAUGGGGGGAACCCUGACCGAGCAACGGCGCGGGAGUGAAGAAGGUUUUCGGAUCGUAAAGCUCUGUUGUUAAGGAAGAGGUACUUAACCAGAAAGGGACGGCUAACUACGUGCCAGCAGCCGCGGUAAUUG
rnacentral:rRNA from 1 species